rnacentral:rRNA from 1 species
AGAGUUUGAUCCUGGCUCAGAGCGAACGCUGGCGGCAGGCUUAACACAUGCAAGUCGAGCGGGCACUUCGGUGUCAGCGGCAGACGGGUGAGUAACACGUGGGAACGUACCCUUCGGUUCGGAAUAACGCUGGGAAACUAGCGCUAAUACCGGAUACGCCCUUAUGGGGAAAGGUUUACUGCCGAAGGAUCGGCCCGCGUCUGAUUAGCUAGUUGGUGGGGUAAUGGCCUACCAAGGCGACGAUCAGUAGCUGGUCUGAGAGGAUGAUCAGCCACACUGGGACUGAGACACGGCCCAGACUCCUACGGGAGGCAGCAGUGGGGAAUAUUGGACAAUGGGCGCAAGCCUGAUCCAGCCAUGCCGCGUGAGUGAUGAAGGCCUUAGGGUUGUAAAGCUCUUUUGUCCGGGACGAUAAUGACGGUUCCGGAAGAAUAAGCCCCGGCUAACUUCGUGCCAGCAGCCGCGGUAAUACGAAGGGGGCUAGCGUUGCUCGGAAUCACUGGGCGUAAAGGGCGCGUAGGCGGCCAUUCAAGUCGGGGGUGAAAGCCUGUGGCUCAACCACAGAAUUGCCUUCGAUACUGUUUGGCUUGAGUAUGGCAGAGGUCAGUGGAACUGCGAGUGUAGAGGUGAAAUUCGUAGAUAUUCGCAAGAACACCAGUGGCGAAGGCGGCUGACUGGGCCAUUACUGACGCUGAGGCGCGAAAGCGUGGGGAGC